rnacentral:rRNA from 1 species
UACGAAGGGGGCUAGCGUUGCUCGGAAUCACUGGGCGUAAAGGGCGCGUAGGCGGGCUCUUAAGUCAGGGUGAAAGCCCAAGGCUCAACCUUGGAAUUGCCUUUGAUACUGAGGGCCUUGAGACCGGAAGAGGUCGGCGGAACUGCGAGUGUAGAGGUGAAAUUCGUAGAUAUUCGCAAGAACACCAGUGGCGAAGGCGGCCGACUGGUCCGGUUCUGACGCUGAGGCGCGAAAGCGUGGGGAGCGAACGAGGA